AACGAAGAAUGAAAAUUUAUUAUUAUUUUUUACAAGAGUUUAAACCCUACCCAUCUUCUUAUUUUUUCUCUCUCCCUCUCCCUCUCCCGCCUCUGCCGCUCGCCGGAACGCCCCCACCGCCUUUCUGUUACAACCUAACGCCGUCACGCCAAGCACUGUCUUCUGCCGCAGUCACUUCAACUCUUUUCACUCGCCGUUGAGCAAGAAGGAUGGCAUGGAGGCAGAUUAUCUCCAACCAUAGGUCUAUACUGCAACCAUACUCAGCUCCUUCAUUUGCUAGAUUCUUUUCUAAAUCUACCCUGUAUGUCGUGAAGGUUGGUAUACCAGAAUUUUUAAAUGGUGUUGGGCAUGGGGUUGAGUCACAUGUGGCUAAACUUGAAUCAGAGAUUGGUGACUUCCAGAAGCUGCUUGUUACUCGCACACUUAAACUGAAAAAACUUGGAAUUCCAUGCAAACAUAGGAAGCUGAUAUUGAAGUACACCCAUAAGUACAGACUUGGACUAUGGAGGCCUAGAUCCGAUUCCUUGAAGGUCUGAAGGUUUUAACUAUGUUAACUCGGUGAAGGAAUCGUUAGCUGAUCUUCAGUUUGUAAAACUUCGAGGGACAGUAUUUCAUUUACUAAAUUGAAAGCGUGCAUUGUCAGAAUGGACUCUUCUCUUGCUGUCGCAUCUUCUCUUCUCCUCUAUAACACACACAUGGGGAUACACUUUCUUUUAUGUUAGAUUUUAUUAUUCAAACCCUUGUAGGAUUUGUUUGAGAUCUCUUAGGUUUGGAUAGAGAUGAGCCCGGUAGUUUAUCCAAAAGAAAAAAAAAAAGCUUGUGAACACACAUAAGGGGUGUUUGGCACUCAAAUUCAAUAGUGUUACUAUUAAAGUUUGUACAUUUAUCGAGUAAUUCUAUAUUCUUUGUU